rnacentral:rRNA from 1 species
CCUACGGGAGGCAGCAGUGAGGAAUAUUGGUCAAUGGGCGCAAGCCUGAACCAGCCAAGUCGCGUGAGGGAUGACGGUCCUAUGGAUUGUAAACCUCUUUUGUCGGGGAGCAAGGCCCGCCACGCGUGCCGGGAAGGAGAGUACCCGCAGAAUAAGCAUCGGCUAACUCCGUGCCAGCAGCCGCGGUAAUACGGAGGAUGCGAGCGUUAUCCGGAUUUAUUGGGUUUAAAGGGUGCGUAGGCGGAAGGUUAAGUCAGCGGUCAAAUGUCGGUGCUCAACACCGGCCUGCCGUUGAAACUGGUCGUCUUGAGUGAGCGAGAAGUAUGCGGAAUGCGUGGUGUAGCGGUGAAAUGCAUAGAUAUCACGCAGAACUCCGAUUGCGAAGGCAGCAUACCGGCGCCCAACUGACGCUGAGGCACGAAAGCGUGGGGAUCGAACAGGAUUAGAUACCCGAGUAGUC